rnacentral:rRNA from 1 species
UACGUAGGGGGCAAGCGUUGUCCGGAUUUAUUGGGCGUAAAGAGCGUGUAGGCGGCCAUACAGGUCAGCUGUGAAAACUCGAGGCUCAACCUCGAGACGUCGGUUGAAAUCGUAUGGCUAGAGUCCGGAAGAGGAGAGUGGAAUUCCCGGUGUAGCGGUGAAAUGCGCAGAUAUCAGGAGGAACACCGGUGGUGUAGACGGCUCUCUGGACCGUAACUGACGCUGAGACACGAAAGCGUGGGUAGCAAACAGG